CCUACGGGUGGCAGCAGUGGGGAAUAUUGCACAAUGGGGGAAACCCUGAUGCAGCAACGCCGCGUGAGUGAAGAAGGAUUUCGGAUUGUAAAGCUCUAUUAGCAGGGGAGAAGAUGUGGGUACCUGACCAAGAAGCCUCGGCUAACUACGUGCCAGCAGCCGCGGUAAUACGCAGGGGGCAAGGGUUAUCCGGAUUUACUGGGUGUAAAGGGAGCGCAGGGGGCAUUGCAGGUCUGGAGUGAAAGCUCCGGGCCCAACCCCGGAACUGCCUUUGAAACUGUGGGGCUAGAGUACAGAAGGGGCAGGCGGAAUUUCUAGUGUAGCGGUGAAAUGCGUAGAUAUUAGGCAGAACACCAGUGGCGAAGGCAGCUUACUAGACUGUAACUGACGUUGAGGCACGAAAGCGUGGGGAGCAAACAGGAUUAGAUACCCGAGUAGUC
rnacentral:rRNA from 1 species